rnacentral:rRNA from 1 species
AUGAAGCUAAUCAGUUGGAAUUGCCGUGGUAUGCUUUCGCCCACGGCAAUUCGAGAGCUCUUGGAUCUUCAAGGGCGUGUGAAAGCGGAUGUGAUUUUCUUGUCUGAAUUCCAUCUGAAUACAGCUAAGGCAACUGAGCUAAGGGUGAAGCUAGGUUUUGAUCGUUUUCAUAUUGUUGAUAGUGAUGGACGAUCAGGAGGUCUUGCACUUUUU